ACCAGGUCUAAACCAGGUCUAAACCAAGUCUAAACCAGAACUAAACCAGGUCUAAACCAGGACUAAACCAGGACUAAACCAGGUCUAAACCAGGUCUAAACCAGGUCUAAACCAGGACUAAACCAGGACUAAACCAGGUCUAAACCAGGACUAAACCAGGACUAAAUCAGGACUAAACCAGGUCUAAACCAGGACUAAACCAGGUCUAAACCAGGACUAAACCAGGUCUAAACCAGGACUAAACCAGUACUAAACCAGGUCUAAACCAGGACUAAACCAGGUCUAAACCAGGACUAAACCAGGACUAAACCAGGACUAAACCAGGUCUAAACCAGGUCUAAACCAGGUCUAAACCAGGAAUAAACCAGGACUAAACCAGGACUAAACCAGGUCUAAACCAGGACUAAACCAGGACUAAACCAGGUCUAAACCAGGACUAAACCAGGUCUAAACCAGGAUUAAACCAGGUCUAAACCAGGACUAAACCAGGACUAAACCAAGUCUAAAGCUGGACUAAACCAGGAC
ensembl:lncRNA